rnacentral:rRNA from 1 species
GUGUCAGCAGCCGCGGUAAUACGAAGGGUGCAAGCGUUAUCCGGAUUCAUUGGGUUUAAAGGGUGCGUAGGCGGGGUGGUAAGUCAGUGGUGAAAUCCUGCAGCUUAACUGUAGAAUUGCCAUUGAUACUGCCAUUCUUGAGUACGCUGGAUGUGGGCGGAAUGUGCCGUGUAGCGGUGAAAUGCUUAGAUAUGGCACAGAACACCGAUAGCGAAGGCAGCUCACAACGGCGAAACUGACGCUGAGGCACGAAAGCGUGGGGAUCGAACAGGAUUAGAUACCCCCGUAGUCC